rnacentral:rRNA from 1 species
UACGAAGGACCCGAGCGUUAUCCGGAUUCAUUGGGUUUAAAGGGUGCGUAGGCGGGCCCAUAAGUCAGUGGUGAAAGCCCUUCGCUUAACGAAGGAAUUGCCAUUGAUACUGUGGGUCUUGAGUAUAGUUGAGGUGGGCGGAAUGUGUCAUGUAGCGGUGAAAUGCUUAGAUAUGACACAGAACACCGAUUGCGAAGGCAGCUCGCUAAACUAUAACUGACGCUGAGGCACGAAAGCGUGGGGAGCGAACAGG